GACGAACGCUGGCGGCGUGCUUAACACAUGCAAGUCGAACGAAGAGCGAUGGAAGCUUGCUUCUAUCAAUCUUAGUGGCGCACGGGUGAGUAACGCGUAAUCAACCUGCCCUUCAGAGGGGGACAACAGUUGGAAACGACUGCUAAUACCGCAUACGAUCUAACCUCGGCAUCGAGGAUGGAUGAAAGGUGGCCUCUAUUUAUAAGCUAUCACUGCAGGAGGGGAUUGCGUCUGAUUAGCUAGUUGGAGGGGUAACGGCCCACCAAGGCGAUGAUCAGUAGCCGGUCUGGGAGGAUGAACGGCCACAUUGGGACUGAGACACGGCCCAGACUCCUACGGGAGGCAGCAGUGGGGAAUCUUCCGCAAUGGACGAAAGUCUGACGGAGCAACGCCGCGUGAGUGAUGACGGCCUUCGGGUUGUAAAGCUCUGUUAAUCGGGACGAAAGGCCUUCUUGCGAAUAGUUAGAAGGAUUGACGGUACCGGAAUAGAAAGCCACGGCUAACUACGUG
rnacentral:rRNA from 1 species